rnacentral:rRNA from 1 species
CUUGGUGGCGAUAGCGGGAAGGCUACACCCGGACCCAUACCGAACCCGGUCGUUACGUUUCCCAGCGCCGAUGGUACUGCACCCGAGAGGGUGUGGGAGACUAGGACACCGCCAAGC